rnacentral:rRNA from 1 species
AUUGAACGCUGGCGGCAUGCCUAACACAUGCAAGUCGAACGGCAGCACAGUGUGUAGCAAUACACAUGGGUGGCGAGCGGCGGACGGGUGAGUAAUGCGUAGGAAUCUGCCCUUAAGUGGGGGAUAGCCCGGAGAAAUCCGGAUUAAUACCGCAUGUGCUCUACGGAGCAAAGCGGGCCUCUGUUCCGAGCUCGCGCUUGAGGAUGAGCCUACGUCGGAUUAGCUAGUUGGUGGGGUAAAGGCCUACCAAGGCGACGAUCCGUAGCUGGUCUGAGAGGAUGACCUGCCACACUGGGACUGAGACACGGCCCAGACUCCUACGGGAGGCAGCAGUGGGGAAUAUUGGACAAUGGGCGAAAGCCUGAUCCAGCAAUGCCGCGUGUGUGAAGAAGGCCUGCGGGUUGUAAAGCACUUUUGUCGGGAAAGAAAAUCACAGGGUUAAUACCCCUGUGCCUUGACGGUACCCGAAGAAUAAGCACCGGCUAACUCCGUGCCAGCCGCCGCCGUAA